rnacentral:rRNA from 1 species
AUGGCGGAAGAACCGUCCGCCAAGCGUCAUCAUGGAGAGACGUCCGACAAGAGCAGCAACCUCGACGACAUUCACGUCCACGGCGAGAAGCGCGAGUACACCAAAACCCUCACAGGGUUUGAGCUCCACGGCAAGGAGACGCUGGAGAUCGUCUGUACCAGCGAACCAGACAAGGCCGACGAGAUGAUGAGCAGGCUCAGGAUGAAGGGUGGCGGCUUGUAUCCUAGCUUCAUCGAAGUUGAUGUGGAGUACACCAGCAAAGAUGAACCUCCCUAG